UACUGGUACCCAAAACUCUCUUAGGAGAGAGAAAAACUCGCUUUUUGGGGUUUUUUCUGCAAACCCUAGUGCCAAUCAAAAAUCGGCCAUGAUUUCACCUCCAAUAAUUAGCUAAUCCUCACAUCCUCCGGCCCCAAAUAAGAUGUAAUCAUCAUAGUAGUUUACGAGUGUUGAUCGGAUGAAUGGCUGGUUAAAAUCGAAGAUGUUACUGAAGAUUUGUUGUUGUUAUCGCCUGAAUCGAUGACUUUCCAUGACCCAGAACAAGCUAUUGUUCAAACCAGAAGACCAGGAUUUCGAGAUCCCCCGAUCCAAAUCAAGUUAAUAGAUUGAAGAAAAACACCUCCUCAUGAAUCUAUGAAGUUGUACCUCCUCAAAGCAAUCAAAUUUGUUUAUGCAUCAAUAGAUUUCUUCCUCAAAUCGUUUGUUCAAGCCGGUUUGAAGAACCCAAUUCCAAGCAACAUGAGUAUUAGAUUGGAUUAAAUCUCGCUCAACCUAUAAUUUAUGGUUCCCUAGCCCAAAACAGUUACAAUAAUAUCAAUUGGGUGCUUUCCAACUACAUAAGCUACAUAGACUUCUAUACAACUACUGCAACAGAUGGGGUCACUUAAUUGAAGACUGAUUUUGAGGAAGAUUUUGAGUUAGUUUCAGACUCUUUUUCAAGCCCUCCAAAACAUAAUUGCAAGACCUGGACAUAAGAGUCAAUCCUGAGGACUCAAAAGUGAAAAAUGGAACACUCAAGCACCAAUGCUUUGAACACCAGCAAUCUCAGCAGCAGCAACACAAACAAAAACUUUACUGAAUCAGCAAUCUAAGUUUCAAAUGUGCUGACAUGCCAUUCAUCCCGGAACUUCACACUCUGUUUACAAAUAUUGACGCAGCAUCUUUGGGGCCGGUGGAGUUCCACCUUAAUUAGUGAUUUCUACUCCUUUUUCCUUGUAGUGUGACCAAGUUAAGUGUCUUAAAUGUUCUUUUAGUGUAUGACAAUUUUGUCUACAAUUUUUACCCUGCAGGUUAUUUUGGUUACAAUUCUCACCUCUGCAGGUUAAGUCAAUUUAUUUUUGUUAACAAAUUUUAGUUAAACUCCGGUAAAGUUAGUAUAUUAAUCGUCUUGUUUUAAUUUCUGUCAUAUCUGCAUCUUAGGUGUCUUUGCUGCAGUGUGUACUCUGUAAACUUAGACCUAGACAUAUUAGAUUAGAUUCUUACUAGACUCUCUUUUCUUUCCAGUAGUUACAUAAGUAGUAUAAGACAUCAGUGUGUACUAGUCUUGUAUAAACCCUAAAAGUGUUUUAUGUAAAUCUUAUAUUAUAUUGUGUGUA